CUUUUUCAGAAAUUGGGUUCUCGCUCAACUCUCUUGGCUCUGUCUCUCUCUUUAGUCUAGCUCUCUCUCUCUCUCUCUCUCCGACAUAGUCAUCUUCCUCCCUCAGCCAUCCAAGCUUAACUCCACAGUUCACAUCCACGAGGUACUGUUCACGUUCCUUUUCUUAGAAAUUUGGGGUUUUUGUGAAUUUGGUUUAUGGUGUAUGGAUUUGUAUGAAAUUGGUUUAGGGGUUUCUUCCAAAUUGGUUUGAUAGGAAGGUGAUGUUGUUGCUGUCGCUGACAGACUAUUUUUCCUGGGUUGUGGUUGGUGGGUGUUACUGCGAAUGCUUACAAGGUUGCUGAUUCUCCUUCUAAGGUCUCUCUUUCUCUCUAUUUCUUCAAAUUCUAAGGUUUUUUUUUUUUUUUUCGGGGUUACUUUUUUUGAUUUCUUUUGCUAAUUGUAAUUGGGCCUUUGUUGCAGAGGUGGAUUUGUUUUGUGCCCAAAAGAUUGUGACUUUGUUGAAAGUUCGUAAAUGGAAAAGGCAGCUGCCCCCUGCGGCUUGGAACGCUCAAUUCGGAGGUAUUAUGCCUUGAAUUUUUACAAAAGAAGAAUUGGAACUACCCUAUAGAAGGCAAAACAAAAAUAUAUAAGAGGAAAAAAGGAGAAAAUUUAUCUAAUUUCCCUUUUUUUUAGUUGUAUUUUUUUUUUCUCGGUCCUUUUUUUGGGGGGGGGUGGUGUUCAGGAUGCAGGGUCGAUCUAGUUGGUUUACAUUGAUGUAGUUCCAAUAUGUAAAGAUGGAGUUUAUAUAUAUAUGUACAUGAUAUAGAGUCAAUUUCAGACCUUGUUAAUGGUAUUAGCCUGUUAGGCUUGUGGGAGAUUCAUUUUGUUUUCUUUCAUUUUCUAUAAAUGAUUCUGAUUAUUUACAACGUUGGACAGACUUCCCUACAUCAUUUUUGUUGUUGGUGGGGGGGGAGGGGGGGAGGAGACACCCUGUUUCGUUACAGGGUUUAUUGACUGCAUUCUUCCUUGUUCUGGAAGACCUCCUCAGUUCCAUUGAGCCGACAAACCUUAUGAAGUUGAAUGUGAAGUGUUACCUUGCAUCUACAUGUUUCAUCUUUUAACUUUAUUUUCAUGUUUCACACUGAUGCUUGUAGUUAUUUCUAGUUUUGCAUACAGAUUAGCAAAUAGGUUAUGCAUUUACUGUUUAGUCAUCUAAUGAUUUGAUAUCUAAUAUUUAGGCAUGUGGGAAUUUAUAGAUGUACCGAUUAUGCAUACAUAUAGGUUUUGUGCUUGUAUUAGGAAGUUAGAUUCUUGUGGUUCCUCUUCAAUGGCAUGAAUUUAAAUUGUUGUGCUUCAUGAUUAGGGUCUGAAGAACAACCAUGUAGUAAGAAAGUUGGAGAAGCAUCAACAGAUUUGCACCAUUGACCAACAUAUUGAAGGGCAAUUUGGUGGUGGUUGUCUGUUGGCUUGUAUUAUAGCAUGGGUUCGUCCGAGUGCUUAACGGUGUUUAUCUGUUUGCAUCUCAUGCCUUAACUCCCUCAGUUUUCUCGGGCAGCUGUCAGAUUGUUUGAAAAUAAUUGUCUACUUUUAAUUUGUUGAAGACUCACCUUGUUAUAUGUUCAUUGCCUUACAUGGCACAUAAACUGUUUCCAUUUUGAAGUUGAACUAUUUCGUACACCUCCAUAUAUAAACAUAGUUGCUCUUUAUGGACAUAUAACAGUUUACUUGUUUGAAACGAUGUGUUCGUUUCCACUGAAUUCUACUCAUUUUUGUAUCCA
rnacentral:lncRNA from 1 species